rnacentral:rRNA from 1 species
UACGAAGGGAGCUAGCGUUGUUCGGAAUCACUGGGCGUAAAGCGCACGUAGGCGGAUGUGUCAGUCAGGGGUGAAAUCCCGGAGCUCAACUUCGGAACUGCCUCUGAUAACAGCACGUCUUGAGUCCGGAAGAGGUGGGUGGAAUUCCUAGUGUAGAGGUGAAAUUCGUAGAUAUUAGGAAGAACACCGGUGGCGAAGGCGGCCCACUGGUCCGGUACUGACGCUGAGGUGCGAAAGCGUGGGGAG